rnacentral:pre_miRNA from 1 species
CUUUUACUCCCUUCGUUCGGAAUUACUUGUCGCAGAAAUGGAUGUAUCUAGACGUAUUUUAAUUCUAGAUACAUCCAUUUCCGAGACAAGUAAUUCCGAAUGGAGGGAGUAUUUC